UACGUAGGUGGCAAGCGUUGUCCGGAUUUACUGGGCGUAAAGGGCGUGCAGGCGGUCUGUUAAGUUCAGGGUGAAAGCUCCCGGCUCAACUGGGAGAGGUCCUUGGAUACUGGCGGUCUCGAGGUAGGUAGAGGAAAGUGGAAUUCCCGGAGUAGUGGUGAUAUGCGUAGAUAUCGGGAGGAACACCAGUGGCGAAGGCGGCUUUCUGGGCCUUACCUGACGCUGAGACGCGAAGGCGUGGGGAGCGAACCGG
rnacentral:rRNA from 1 species